CCGGGCGCGUAUAUUACCCACUCCCGGCACGGGGAGGUAGUGACGAAAAAUAACAAUAUAGAACUAGUAAACUAUGUUCUGUAAUUGGAAUGAAUCAAGUUUAAAUCCUUUAAUGAGGAUCAAGUGGAGGGCAAGUCUGGUGCCAGCAGCCGCGGUAAUUCCAGCUCCACUAGCGUAUGUUAAAAUUGUUGCGGUUAAAACGUUCGAAGUUGAUCGUUGUCCAGUACGGGUGUGAUAUCGUCAUGUAAACGAUUGUCAUCGCUUUGUCUACUCGGACUAUAUGACUGAACACUAAAUGAAUAGCAAUGAUGCCUUUAACUAGGAUAGUUGUCUAUUUAGUUCGGCUUACUUUUACCUUGAACAAAUUAAAGUGCUCAAAGCAGGCUCGAUAUGCUUGAAUAGUUUUGCAUGGAAUAAUGGAAAAAGACCUCGGUCUUAUGCUGCUGUGUGUCUUCGGAUGCGCAGUGGACUUUCUAUUGGUUUGAUACGGAUCAAGAGGUAAUGAUUAAUAGAAGCAUUUGGGGGCAUUAGUAUUACGGCGCGUGAGGUGAAAUUCUUAGACCGUCGUAAUACUAACUAAAGCGAAAGCAUUUGCCAAAGGUU
rnacentral:rRNA from 1 species